rnacentral:rRNA from 1 species
UCGGGCCUACGGGGCGCAGCAGUGGGGAAUAUUGGACAAUGGGGGGAACCCUGAUCCAGCGACGCCGCGUGAGAGAAGAAGUAUUUCGGUAUGUAAAGCUCUAUCAGCAGGGAAGAAAGAAAUGACGGUACCUGACUAAGAAGCCCCGGCUAACUACGUGCCAGCAGCCGCGGUAAUACGUAGGGGGCAAGCGUUAUCCGGAUUUACUGGGUGUAAAGGGAGCGUAGACGGCGAUGCAAGUCUGAAGUGAAAGGCGGGGGCACAACCCCUGGACUGCUUUGGAAAUUGUAUGGCUGGAG